rnacentral:rRNA from 1 species
UACGGGGGGGGCAAGCGUUGUUCGGAAUUACUGGGCGUAAAGGGCUCGUAGGCGGCCAACUAAGUCGGACGUGAAAUCCCUCGGCUUAACCGGGGAACUGCGUCCGAUACUGGAUGGCUUGAGUUUGGGAGAGGGUCGUGGAAUUCCCAGUGUAGAGGUGAAAUUCGUAGAUAUUGGGAAGAACACCGGUGGCGAAGGCGGCGACCUGGUCCAUGACUGACGCUGAGGCGCGAAAGCGUGGGGAGCAAACAGG